GUCGAACGAUGAAGCCCAGCUUGCUGGGUGGAUUAGUGGCGAACGGGUGAGUAACACGUGAGUAACCUGCCCCCCUCUUCGGGAUAAGCCUUGGAAACGGGGUCUAAUACCGGAUAUUCAGCAUCGCUCGCAUGGGUGGUGUUGGAAAGAAUUUUGGUGGGGGAUGGGCUCGCGGCCUAUCAGCUUGUUGGUGGGGUGAUGGCCUACCAAGGCGUCGACGGGUAGCCGGCCUGAGAGGGCGACCGGCCACACUGGGACUGAGACACGGCCCAGACUCCUACGGGAGGCAGCAGUGGGGAAUAUUGCACAAUGGGCGCAAGCCUGAUGCAGCGACGCCGCGUGAGGGAUGACGGCCUUCGGGUUGUAAACCUCUUUCGACAAGGAAGAAGCCUUCGGGUGACGGUACUUGUAGAAGAAGCGCCGGCUAACUACGUGCCA
rnacentral:rRNA from 1 species